rnacentral:rRNA from 1 species
CUGACACAGGGAGGUAGUGACAAGAAAUAACAAUGCCGGGCUCUUACGAGUCUGGCAAUUGGAAUGAGAACAAUUUAAAUCCCUUAUCGAGGAUCCAUUGGAGGGCAAGUCUGGUGCCAGCAGCCGCGGUAAUUCCAGCUCCAAUAGCGUAUAUUAAUGUUGUUGCAGUUAAAAAGCUCGUAGUUGGAUUCCUGGCUCGGGGUAGCCGGUCCGCCUUGCAAAAGGUGCGCACUGCGCGGCCUCGGCCAUCCUUGGGAAGAGCGGUCCUGGCAUUCAGUUGUCGGGGUCGGGAUUCCCGACGUUUACUGUGAAAAAUCAGAGUGUUCAACGCAGGCUUACGCCUUGAAUACAUUAGCAUGGAAUAAUGAGAUAGGACCUUGGCGGUCUAUUUUGUUGGUUUGCACGCCGAGGUAAUGAUUAAAAGGGACGGUUGGGGUUCUUCGUAUUCAAUUGUCAGAGGUGAAAUUCUUGGAUUUAUGGAAGACGAACUGCUGCGAAAGCGU